rnacentral:rRNA from 1 species
AUGCUUAGUGGAUGUGCUAGUCUCUCUGAUUGGACAUACAUGUCCGAGACAACAUGCUUGGUCAGUUGGCUCUCGCGCUUCAUCAUCAUCUUCUGCGUCGGUGCCAUGGCAAGUUCUUUCUCAUCUAGUGGAGCAUGGUGUUAUCCCUCACCUUCAUCUCCAGCGGCUUCAGAUUCAUCCAAUCUUGGAGGCAGAUUGUCUCCUAUUAUCUUCGCCGUGUCGGUGGCAACAAUGGACGAUGCGUUUGGUCUUGGUCAGCAGUCCCGACCCUUGGUGGGUGCAUGGUUCACAGCUAGUGUUGUGGUGCCAACUCAUGAAAUAUUCCUUUUCUUUAUGUCCCAGAUGUAA